AUACGGAAGGUCCGGGCGUUAUCCGGAUUUAUUGGGUUUAAAGGGAGCACAGGCGGAGAUGCAAGCGUGACGUCAAAUUUCGGGGCUCAACCCCGUCUCGCGUCGCGAACUGCGUCCCUUGGUUGCGGGAAGGGGAGGCGGAACUCGUGGUGUAGCGGUGAAAUGCAUAGAUAUCACGAAGAACUCCGAUCGCGAAGGCAGCCUUCCGGCCCGUCAACGACGCUCAUGCUCGAAGGUGCGGGUAUCAAACAGGAUUAGAUACCCUGGUAGUCCGCACAGUAAACGAUGGACACCCGCGGUUUGGCCUGUAUGGCUGAGCCGCCAAGCGAAAGCGUUAAGUGUCCCACCUGGGGAGUACGCCGGCAACGGUGAAACUCAAAGGAAUUGACGGGG
rnacentral:rRNA from 1 species